GCUCUCUCAGCUUAUGGCACCCAUCCUAUUUCUGAUUCAAAUUGAAAGAUGAUUUUUUUCUUAUUCAAGACUCCUAGGUCUCAUUCCAAAGAUGAAGCAUGCCUGCUACUUUUGAAAAUAUGAGGAAUUCUUUUGAUAGCUGUUUGUACCCAGUUUCUAAGAGCCUGAAGAAAUGACAACACAACUUCACAAAGCCAUGCUUUCAUAAAAACCGUAAUGACAAGUCUCCUUUCCUCCUCCACCUCCAGUUCUUAGACUAAGAUCCAUUAGCCACUCAGAAAUAAAAUACAAAUUGAAUAACUGAGGCUUGAUAGAGUUACAUCACUUGUCCAAAGAGAUAAUGCCAGUGAAUGGAAUAGCCAGAUCGAAUUCCAGAAUCCGUAAAGCUCCACUGCUUCUCUCUGAAUGGAAUCUAAUUGCAUUAGAGGGGACACUGGGGAAGUUAUGGACUACCUCAUCUUUCUACUAUAAAAAAUGAAACUACUUGUCUGUAUUGAAUUUGAUUUUAUAUGUUCAAUGAAAUAUAUCAUAUCCUUAUAAUAAAGUUAUAUAAGUUGCAAUGAC
rnacentral:lncRNA from 1 species